UACGAAGGGGGCUAGCGUUGCUCGGAUUGACUGGGCGUAAAGGGCGCGUAGGCGGUUCGUACAGUCAGACGUGAAAUUCCUGGGCUCAACCUGGGGGCUGCGUUUGAUACGUGCGGACUUGAGUGCGGAAGAGGGUCGUGGAAUUCCCAGUGUAGAGGUGAAAUUCGUAGAUAUCGGGAGGAACACCGGUGGCGAAGGCGGCGACCUGGGUCGAGACUGACGCUGAGGCGCGAAAGCGUGGGGAGCAAACAGG
rnacentral:rRNA from 1 species